rnacentral:snRNA from 1 species
AUACUCACGUUGGUGGUACAUACACUAAAAUUAGAACGAUACAGAGAAAAUUAGCAUGGCCACUGCGCAAUGCUGACACGCAAAAUUGUAUCCAUAUUUUAAAUUUCU